rnacentral:rRNA from 1 species
UACAGAGGGUGCAAGCGUUAAUCGGAAUUACUGGGCGUAAAGCGCGCGUAGGUGGUUCGUUAAGUUGGAUGUGGAAUCCCCGGGCUCAACCUGGGAACUGCAUCCAAAACUGGCGAGCUAGAGUAUGGUAGAGGGUGGUGGAAUUUCCUGUGUAGCGGUGAAAUGCGUAGAUAUAGGAAGGAACACCAGUGGCGAAGGCGACCACCUGGACUGAUACUGACACUGAGGUGCGAAAGCGUGGGGAGCAAACAGG